ACUAUUAAAUAGCCCUCCAAAAUCUUGUUAUUUAGGAGUAUUAAACGUAGAUUAUCGACAAAACCGAUUCCAUUAUCCCUAGGCUAUUUUGCGAGACGAAUCUAAUGAUGUAUAUUAAUCUAUGAUUAGUGACUGAUUACUAUAGCAUCACUAUAGCAAAUCAUGGAUUAAUAUACCUCGUUAGAUUCGUCUCACAAAAUAGCCUUGGGGUUAUAGAAUGGGUUUUACCAAUAAUCUACGUUUAAUACUCUUAAAUAUCAAGAUUUCAGAGAGCUAUUUAAUAGCCUCCG
rnacentral:misc_RNA from 1 species